rnacentral:tRNA from 1 species
GGGCGGUUAGCUCAGUUGAUUAGAGCGUUCGCUUGACGUGCGAAAGGUCACUGGUUUGAAUCCAGUACCGCCCACCA